rnacentral:rRNA from 1 species
ACGAACGCUGGCGGCAUGCCUAACACAUGCAAAUCGAACGAGACCUUCGGGUCUAGUGGCGCACGGGUGCGUCACGCGUGGGAACCUGCCCUUAGGUUCGGAAUAACUCCCCGAAAGGGGUGCUAAUACCGGAUAAUGUCUUCGGACCAAAGAUUUAUCGCCUUUGGAUGGGCCCGCGUUGGAUUAGCUAGUUGGUAGGGUAAAAGCCUACCAAGGCGACGAUCCAUAGCUGGUCUGAGAGGAUGAUCAGCCACACUGGGACUGAGACACGGCCCAGACUCCUACGGGAGGCAGCAGUGGGGAAUAUUGGACAAUGGGCGAAAGCCUGAUCCAGCAAUGCCGCGUGAGUGAUGAAGGCCUUAGGGUUGUAAAGCUCUUUUACCCGGGAUGAUAAUGACAGUACCGGGAGAAUAAGCUCCGGCUAACUCCGUG